rnacentral:rRNA from 1 species
UACGGAGGAUGCAAGCGUUAUCCGGAAUCAUUGGGCGUAAAGCGUCCGCAGGUGGCGUAUCAAGUCUGCUGUCAAAGACAGAAGCUCAACUUCUGGCAGGCAGUGGAAACUGGUAAGCUAGAGUACGGUAGGGGUUGAGGGAAUUCCCAGUGUAGCGGUGAAAUGCGUAGAUAUUGGGAAGAACACCAGUGGCGAAGGCGCUCUACUGGGCCAUAACUGACGCUGAGGGACGAAAGCUAGGGGAGCGAAAGGG